rnacentral:rRNA from 1 species
CCUACGGGGGGCAGCAGUGGGGAAUAUUGGACAAUGGGCGAAAGCCUGAUCCAGCCAUGCCGCGUGUGUGAAGAAGGCCUUCGGGUUGUAAAGCACUUUCAGUGGGGAAGAAAGCCUUGGGGCUAAUACCCUCGAGGAAGGACAUCACCCACAGAAGAAGCACCGGCUAACUCCGUGCCAGCAGCCGCGGUAAUACGGAGGGGCGAGCGUUAAUCGGAAUUACUGGGCGUAAAGCGCGCGUAGGCGGUCUGAUAAGCCGGUUGUGAAAGCCCCGGGCUCAACCUGGGAACGGCAUCCGGAACUGUCAGGCUAGAGUGCAGGAGAGGAAGGUAGAAUUCCCGGUGUAGCGGUGAAAUGCGUAGAGAUCGGGAGGAAUACCAGUGGCGAAGGCGGCCUUCUGGACUGACACUGACGCUGAGGUGCGAAAGCGUGGGUAGCAAACAGGAUUAGAUACCCCAGUAGUC